CGGGGCCGCUCCGCGCCCCUGCCCGCCUACGGGAGGCAGCAGUAGGGAAUCUUCCGCAAUGGACGAAAGUCUGACGGAGCAACGCCGCGUGAGUGAUGAAGGCUUUCGGGUCGUAAAACUCUGUUGUUAGGGAAGAACAAGUGCUAGUUGAAUAAGCUGGCACCUUGACGGUACCUAACCAGAAAGCCACGGCUAACUACGUGCCAGCAGCCGCGGUAAUACGUAGGUGGCAAGCGUUAUCCGGAAUUAUUGGGCGUAAAGCGCGCGCAGGUGGUUUCUUAAGUCUGAUGUGAAAGCCCACGGCUCAACCGUGGAGGGUCAUUGGAAACUGGGAGACUUGAGUGCAGAAGAGGAAAGUGGAAUUCCAUGUGUAGCGGUGAAAUGCGUAGAGAUAUGGAGGAACACCAGUGGCGAAGGCGACUUUCUGGUCUGUAACUGACACUGAGGCGCGAAAGCGUGGGGAGCAAACAGGAUUAGAUACCCUGGUAGUCCACGCCGUAAACGAUGAGUGCUAAGUGUUAGAGGGUUUCCGCCCUUUAGUGCUGAAGUUAACGCAUUAA
rnacentral:rRNA from 1 species